rnacentral:rRNA from 1 species
UCAAGCUAAUAAGAGCGUAGGGUGAAUGCCUAGGCAUCAAGAGCCGAAGAAGGACGCGGUUAACUGCGAAAAGCCAUGGGGAGCUGUAAGCAAGCAAUGAUCCAUGGAUAUCCGAAUGGGGAAACCCGGCGGUCGUAAUGGGCCGUCACCGUUACAUGAAUAAAUAGUGUAACGGGGGGAACCCGGUGAACUGAAACAUCUAAGUAGCCGGAGGAAGAGAAAGAAAGAUCGAUUUUCUUAGUAGCGGCGAGCGAACGGGAAAGAGGCCAAACCGGGACUCUACGGAGUACCGGGGUUGAGGACCUGCGGAAUCGAAGUUGGAGAUAGUCGAAGACGGUUGGAAAGCCGAACCGGAGAGGGUAAAAGUCCCGUAGGCGAAAUCAAAGACGAGAGGCGGGUAUCCAGAGUACCACAGGACACGAGUAAUCCGGUGGGAAGCAGGGGGGUCCACCCCCCAAGCCUAAAUACUACUUAAUGACCGAUAGCGUAUAGUACCGUGAGGGAAAGGUGAAAAGAACCCCGGGAGGGGAGUGAAAGAGAACCUGAAACCCUAUGUUUACAAGCAGACAAAGCACGUUAAGGUGCGAUGUCGUACUUUUUGUAGAACGGUCCGGCGAGUUAUUUUAUAUGGCAAGGUUAAGUACUAUUAAGGUACGAAGCCGAAGCGAGAGCGAGUCUGAAAAGGGCGAGUAAGUCAUAUGAAAUAGACCCGAAACCGAGUGACCUAUCCAUGGUCAGGAUGAAGCUUGAGUAAAAUCAAGUGGAGGUCCGAACCCAUAAGCGUUAAAAAGCUUCGGGAUGAACUGUGGAUAGCGGAGAAAUUCCAAUCGAACUCGGAGAUAGCUGGUUCUCCUCGAAAUAGUUUUAGGACUAGCCUUGUUUAGUAGUAUGUGGGGGUAGAGCACUGAAUGAGCUAGGGGCCAAACCAGGUUACUGAACUCUAUCAAACUCCGAAUACCAUGUACGUAAGAACAGGAGUCAGACUGCGGGAGCUAAGUUCCGUGGUCAAAAGGGAAAGAGCCCAGAUCGUCAAUUAAGGUCCCAAAGAUAUAGCUAAGUGGAAAACGAUGUGAUUUUGCGUAAACAACCAGGAUGUUGGCUCAGAAGCAGCCAUUCAUUUAAAGAGUGCGUAAUAGCUCACUGGUCGAGUGAAGUUGCGCGGAAAAUUACCGGGGCUAAACUAUACACCGAAAUUGCGGAUUUGCAUGUAAGUGCAAGUGGUAGAGGAGCAUUCUAUAGUAGGACGAAGCAUAAUCGAAAGGAUAUGUGGACGAGAUAGAAGAGAGAAUGCCGGAAUAAGUAGCGAAAGCAUGGUGAGAAUCCAUGCCAUCGAAAGUCUAAGGUUUCCUGGGGAAGGUUCGUCCGCCCAGGGUAAGUCGGGACCUAAGGUGAGGCCGAAAGGCGUAGCCGAUGGAUAGCAGGUUGAGAUUCCUGCACCACCGAAAUACUUAAAAGAUGUAAGGGACACAGGAGUGGAAGGAAAGCGAGGAAGAGGAAAGACUCGUAUCGAAAGAUAUAGUGAAAAUAGAAAGUAACGAAUUUCCAAGAAGCACACUGGCGAGAAAAGCUUGCAGAUAUUGUAUAGAGGUGCCCGUACCGCAAACCGACACAGGUAGAUGAGGAGAGGAUCCUAAGAUGAGCGAGAGAAGCAUUGUUAAGGAACUCGGCAAAUUGACCCCGUAACUUAGGGAGAAGGGGUGCCAAAGUAAAAUUUGGUCGCAGAGAAGAGGCCCAAGCAACUGUUUAACAAAAACACAGGUUUCUGCUAAAUCGAAAGAUGAAGUAUAGGAGCUGACGCCUGCCCAGUGCUGGAAGGUUAAGGGGAAGAGUUAGAUGUAAGUCGAAGCUUAGAACCAAAGCCCCAGUGAACGGCGGCCGUAACUAUAACGGUCCUAAGGUAGCGAAAUUCCUUGUCAGGUAAGUUCUGACCCGC